rnacentral:rRNA from 1 species
UACGAAGGGGGCUAGCGUUGCUCGGAAUUACUGGGCGUAAAGCGCACGUAGGCGGCCCGGUAAGUCCGCUGUGAAAGUCCAGGGCUCAACCCUGGGAUGCCGGUGGAUACUGUCGGGCUCGAGUCCGGAAGAGGCGAGUGGAAUUCCUGGUGUAGCGGUGAAAUGCGCAGAUAUCAGGAGGAACACCAAUGGCGAAGGCGGUGCUCUGGGCCAUUACUGACGCUGAGGAGCGAAAGCGUGGGGAGCGAACAGG